rnacentral:misc_RNA from 1 species
UCACAUUUGCUUUUUUUUUUUUUUCCCCUUAGUUGAAGUUACUGAUCAGUUCUCGUAAUUCAAGCAAAAACUGAAGUGAAUUAUGAAAUAAUAACCCUUCAGAGCUACGAAGUUAAGAUAAUGAUGCUAAAAGAUUUGUCAAAGAUAGUGUACUAGUUGAUAAUGUAGGGAUAAUAAUGGACCAGCAAGAUAAUGACGCUUAUUUUAUAGGGGAAACAAGAAAGAAAAAGAAACUGGGUUUGUUUGGUGUUGCUUCAAUAGCAACCAUUCUGCUAGCCCUUUCUUGUGAAUUCUGGACAUGAUUUUAAAUGGAAUUGCUCCUUGUGCUCAGAUUCUGCCAUAUGCAUUGUAGUUGAAGCUGUAGCACACUAUACAUGACAAUGACUUGUGGAAUAUCGUAGUUGGGGAAAAUUUUAUUCUUGAAUUUCCUUAUAAAAAUAAUUCCUUGAGAAGUUUCCAAAAUAAAUGACAAGGCUGAUUGAUGGUUUAUGCUGUAGUUGUGCCAGAAUAAUUCACAAGAUGAAGUAAUAGACCCUAGCACAACACUAAGGCAUUUCCAAAUUCAGUUUCAUUCAUCUCCCUCUCAACUGAUGCGAAAUAUGUUUUAUAUGUAACUAACUUUCACAGUGUACGUUAAAAUAUUUCAAUAUAUUAUAGAGUUUAUUCAGGUUUUUAUGCAUUGUUAUAUUUUUAAACACUUUGUGAAAUUUCCAGCUUUAGUAGCUGAAGUUAUUUCUAUCGUUCUCAGUUUUGGGAAGUAUUACAGAUUCAGAUUUACCCUGUGAUAUUUUGUUAUCUUUGAAACAAGCAACGGGCCGUGCACAGCAAAGCCAAAUAUCUGAAAGGCUGUUUACAGCUCUGCAUAGCCACACAAAGCCUGUCAAUGCUCUCAGUUGGUCACAAAGUCAUGGUAUGCACAUUUUAUUGACAAUAUAUAUUCCCCCAGUUCCCUUUUGAGUGUUGUUUCUGUCUUUAGCUGCCCUGUGAAAUGUUGCAUUAUAACCUUGGGUGAUGGGAUGUGUUAGAUAAUGCUUCUGUAAUUACAAGAUUCAAAUUAUGUUUAGGUAAUCUCAGUUUCAUGGAAUAUUUGCCUUCAUGCUUUUUUUAUACAUUUAGUUGGCCUUAUUAAUCUGGCCAUUAUAGUUAGUCUGCAGCUCAUCUUCUUGCCACUGCUGGGAUGGAUCACACCAUAUGCAUAUGGAAUGUGUGGAGCCGAGACCAGAAAAAAAGCACGAACAUUUAGAUUUCAUAAUGCUGCUGUGAAAGAUGUGAAAUGGUCACAGCGAGGAUUAUCAGUGCUUUCUUGUGGAUAUGACUGCUCAUCAAGGUUGAUUGACGUUGAAAAGGGAAUAGAAACUCAGAUUUUCAAGGAAGAUCAGGUUAUUGGAGUUAUCAAGUUCCAUCCAGACAACUCCAAUCUCUUCCUUUCUGGGGGAUCAAAGGGCUGCAUCAGAUUAUGGGACAUUAGAACUGGAAAGGUGGUCCAUGAAUACGUCCGAGAUCUAGGUCCAGUACUUGACGUUGAGUUUACCAUUAAUGGCAAGCAUUUUAUCUCAUCUAGUGAUGUCAGUGGAGGCAAUGUUAGUGAAAAUUCAAUUAUUGUUUGGGAUGUAUCACGACAGGUUCCACUGUCCAACCAGGUUUAUGUGGAAGCCUAUACCUGUCCCUGUAUAAGAUGCCACCCAUUUGAUCCUUGUUUUGUUGCCCAGUCAAAUGGAAAUUAUAUAGCAAUCUUCUCUUCAAGUCCCCCAUUCAAGCUAAACAAGUAUAAAAGGUAUGAAAGCCAUGGGGUAUCUGGGUUCCCUAUUAAGUGCAAUUUCAGCUUGGAUGGUGAGAAGCUUGUUUCUGGCUCCUCAGAUGGUUCCAUAUACUUGUACAGCUAUAGAUCAUCAGAUAUUAUCAAGAAAAUCAAGGCGUAUGAGCAGGCCUGCAUUGAUGUUGCUUUCCAUCCAAUAAUGCCCAAUGUAAUUGCUUCAUGUGGUUGGAAUGGAGAGGUUUCUGUAUUUGAGUGAGACGAGAGCUUACUUUCCACUUCAUUCAUGGGCAGUGUUGACUGCUGGAAAGCUGUGCCAAACAAACAAAAUUGUAAGGAAAACUUUUGAAACCAGGUGUUGUACAUUAUGCUUUUGAGAGUGAAAAGGAAUGGUUGAAAAUGUGCUGCGCCACGUUUGCUCUCUUGAUCAUGGACAAUGCAAACUAUUUUGCUUCAGCUGGUUUAAUUUGUUC